GACAGAGGAUGCAAGCGUUAUCCGGAAUGAUUGGGCGUAAAGCGUCUGUAGGUGGCUUUUUAAGUCCGCCGUCAAAUCCCAGGGCUCAACCCUGGACAGGCGGUGGAAACUACCAAGCUGGAGUACGGUAGGGGCAGAGGGAAUUUCCGGUGGAGCGGUGAAAUGCGUAGAUAUGCGGAGGAACACCGAUGGCGAAGGCACUCUGCUGGGCCGACACUGACACUGAGAGACGAAAGCUAGGGGAGCGAAUGGG
rnacentral:rRNA from 1 species